UACGUAGGGUGCAAGCGUUAAUCGGAAUUACUGGGCGUAAAGCGUGCGCAGGCGGCUAUGCAAGACAGAUGUGAAAUCCCCGGGCUCAACCUGGGAACUGCAUUUGUGACUGCAUAGCUAGAGUACGGUAGAGGGGGAUGGAAUUCCGCGUGUAGCAGUGAAAUGCGUAGAUAUGCGGAGGAACACCGAUGGCGAAGGCAAUCCCCUGGACCUGUACUGACGCUCAU
rnacentral:rRNA from 1 species